rnacentral:rRNA from 1 species
GACAGAGGGUGCUAGCGUUGUUCGGAAUUACUGGGCGUAAAGGGCGCGUAGGCGGCCCGUUUAGUCGGGUGUGAAAUCCCGGGGCCUCAACCCCGGAACUGCAUUCGAUACUGGCGGGCUUGAGACCGGAAGAGGUGGGUGGAAUACCCAGUGUAGAGGUGAAAUUCGUAGAUAUUGGGUGGAACACCGGUGGCGAAGGCGGCUCACUGGUCCGGUUCUGACGCUGAGGCGCGAAAGCGUGGGGAGCAAACAGG